rnacentral:rRNA from 1 species
UGGGGAAUUUUGGACAAUGGGCGCAAGCCUGAUCCAGCCAUUCCGCGUGCAGGACGAAGGCCUUCGGGUUGUAAACUGCUUUUGUACGGAACGAAAAGGCUCUGGCUAAUACCUGGGGCUCAUGACGGUACCGUAAGAAUAAGCACCGGCUAACUACGUGCCAGCAGCCGCGGUAAUACGUAGGGUGCACGCGUUAAUCGGAAUUACUGGGCGUAAAGCGUGCGCAGGCGGUUAUGUAAGACAGAGGUGAAAUCCCCGGGCUCAACCUGGGAACUGCCUUUGUGACUGCAUAGCUGGAGUACGGCAGAGGGGGAUGGAAUUCCGCGUGUAGCAGUGAAAUGCGUAGAUAUGCGGAGGAACACCGAUGGCGAAGGCAAUCCCCUGGGCCUGUACUGACGCUCAUGCACGAAAGCGUGGGG